GUCAGAAUAAGGCCUCGAAACACGUGACACAUAAGUUAACAUAAGAACAGGAAAACUCCACAGAGACCGAGCAGGUCCGUCGACAGGAAAGGAGCAUCACCAGGUGAACAAGUCAGAAUAAGGCCUCGCAACACGUGACACAUAAGUUAACAUAUUAAGAAAAAGAAAAACUCCACAGAGACCGAGUAGGUACGUCGACAGGGAAGGAGUUUCAUGAUAUGCAUCACCAGGUGUACACUCAGGCGAUUAUCGGUAUCAGGUAAGUUUAAACUUGUCAAAUUAGGC
rnacentral:lncRNA from 1 species